UACGUAGGGUGCAAGCGUUGUCCGGAAUUAUUGGGCGUAAAGAGCUCGUAGGCGGUUUGUCGCGUCUGCUGUGAAAACUCGGGGCUUAACCCCGGCCUGCAGUGGGUACGGGCAGACUAGAGUGCGGUAGGGGAGACUGGAAUUCCUGGUGUAGCGGUGAAAUGCGCAGAUAUCAGGAGGAACACCGGUGGCGAAGGCGGGUCUCUGGGCAACUACUGACGCUGAGGAGCGAAAGCGUGGGGAGCGAACAGG
rnacentral:rRNA from 1 species